CGGUGGUGGAAUACUUGAUGCAGCCCAGCCUCACCCAGGCUCUACUUCCAGCGGCCCCCAGGUUCAGAUUCAGAUUCAUCACCAUGUGGUGACCAUCUUACACAGUGAUAAUUCACAUUUGAGUGUUUUGGACACCAUCCUUCUGUCUGUGGCUGUAAAUAUGUCAAUGAACAAAAUUAUAGAUAAUGAAAAUUCUGCUACUGCAUCAGGUGGUAUUUUAAUGUCAAUAUCUAAAAGGAGGAUAGUAAUCAAAGAGGAUAUGUUCCUGUAUUAACAGAUGCAGCAGAAGAAUCUGUAUGAUGAAGAAAUUAAGCAACAACAAGAAAAUGCAGUUUAUCCAAAAUAGUAAUUCAUCAGUACCACAGUUUUUAUUGUGACUGACACUGUAAAUAUUGAUAAGAGCAAUGCUGUCCAAAUACAACCUUUUAUUCAAAUUUG